rnacentral:rRNA from 1 species
UACGUAGGGACCGAGCGUUGUCCGGAUUCAUUGGGCGUAAAGAGCUCGUAGGCGGCUGUUCAAGUCGAACGUGAAAACUCGGAGCUCAACUCCGAGCCUGCGUUCGAUACUGGACGGCUAGAGUCUGGUAGGGGGAUCUGGAAUUCCUGGUGUAGCGGUGGAAUGCGCAGAUAUCAGGAGGAACACCAAUAGCGAAGGCAGCUCGCUGGGACGUUACUGACACUAAGGCGCGAAAGCGUGGGGAGCGAACAGG